CCUACGGGAGGCUGCAGUGGGGAAUAUUGGACAAUGGGCGCAAGCCUGAUCCAGCAAUGCCGCGUGUGUGAAGAAGGCCUGCGGGUUGUAAAGCACUUUAAGCAGGAAAGAAGGGGUGGAAGUUAAUACCUUUCAUCAUUGACGUUACCUGCAGAAUAAGCACCGGCUAACUCCGUGCCAGCAGCCGCUGUAAUACGGAGGGUGCAUACGUUAAUCGGAACGAGUGGGGGUAAAGCGCGAAGUCGCUGGUGAAAGCCCCGGGCUUAACCUGGGAACUGCGGUGGAUACUGUCGAGCUAGAGUGUGGUAGAGGGGAGUGGAAUUUCCGGUGUAGCAGUGAAAUGCGUAGAGAUCGGAAGGAACACCAGUGGCGAAGGCGGCUCCCUGGACUAACACUGACGCUGAGGUGCGAAAGCGUGGGGAGCAAACAGGAUUAGAUACCCCAGUAGUC
rnacentral:rRNA from 1 species